ACGGCCCAAGACCGAGCCCAAGUCCGCUCAGUUCAAGGGGUAAUAACCCCGCUUUAACAUUUCAUUUCAUACCAAACACACCCCUACCACCUCCUCUCUCCUCUCUUUCCCUCUUUCACCUAAAAACCCUAGAAGCCGUCCUCAUUUUCUCUCUCUCGCCUUGCCAAAAAUGGCAAAAGUUCAAAGGUUUCAGAGCUGAAUCAGUUUUUGUACGUCCGUUUGCGGCAAAGAAUUAAUGCAUCCAUCCUAUUUCCACUCAUUCUCACCAAACACCGCCUUAGAGAGGAGAGGAAGCACAAAGGCUUUCAAACCCAUUCUUGCUCGCAGCUGCACAUCAAAAAGGUAACUUUUUUUUUAAUCAUUUUAUUGCAUUUCAUCUUCAUCAAGUUCUGUGCUUAGCUUAAGUAUUUAGAUUGAGUGUUAGUCUAGGUGCUGAUUUAAUAUUCUGUUUAGUACAAAAAUAUUAUGAUUAUGCUGUGAUAGUUGUCUUUGAAUGACUGGUUCAAUUAGUAUUAUGUUUAAAUAUUGAAACUUGAACAUAUACCAUAAGUCACAGAAAACUCUUUCAUAGUUUUGAAAUGAACUAGUAAAUGGUUUAAGGUGAAAAUCAGCUUACUAUAGUUUUCUUCAAGUGCUUAAGUCCCUGGGUUGAAUUCUGAUGCCUUGUCUAUAAAAUUAACACAAUGGCUAUGGUGGUGUAUCUGUAUCCUUGUGGUUCAAUCUAGAUGUAUAUCUGUCGUCACAUAGUCUGUUGAUGUUUAAAUCAGUCUGUGUUUCUUCUGUGAAACAAGAUGACUUAGAAGACCUGUCAAUGAUGAAAUUAACUAUUUUAAUGACUUUGUGUGAACUUGAUUAGGAUUUAGGAAUGGAAAUGCUUUAGUCCUAUUGAAAGGGAUUCUGUCUAUUUGAAUAUAUGCGUACAUGAGUCUGUUUAAGUGUUCCUCUAUAUAAGAUGAAGUUGAUGUGUCUGGAACCUGCCUUGGUCUUGAAUGUCUUCCCUUAAGCUAUGGUAGGAUAAAACAAGGAUCAACUAAUACCUUUCUUCUCAAUAAUUUGCAACUGGAAUCAUUUAUAUAGUUUAACCUGCUUCCUGAAGAAUUAUUUGGAUAGUUCUGAAAAUAAAAAAGGGGAUAGAAAAGGAUGUAAAAGCAAAAGGGAAAGUUAGCGUGAACUGACUCUGUUUCUAUCUUACUUCAUACAUGACUAGCCAUAGGAGGAAAUGAAGAGGCAAUCUCUAUGAAUAGAAUUCUAGGCUAAUCAAUUAAGAGUACUAGUCUAUAUCAAAUGUUGCUUAAGUGUCUUGGUUAGGGGGUUGGUUUAAUGAUGAUGUCCAAGGGAUCAUAGGUGUGCAUAGGCUGUCUGUGCACCACUUGACAUGGAGGAGCCUUUUAAAGGACAUCUCAAAGUGGGGACUGGGGAGAGCCAAGCCUUGCUUGGUCCAUAGUACCCUUCCUCCGAAUAAGGGAUGUCAUGGAAUACUCCACAAGUCCAUGGGGUACAUAGUUGCUGUAUAUGCACAUCUGGUCUUUGACACCUCAUCAUCACACCAAGAGAGUGCCAUAAAGUGAACCCUUUAGUUGUCUUAACAAGUUUAAAAAGUUAAAAGGAAAUUGUCCGUGAUAAGUAACUGACUUUUCUAGAAACAGGAGAUGUGACAAACUGAAAUUUUGAUAAUCAAGCAGCUGUCCUCAAAUAGGUAUUAGACCACCUUGACUCUUUGACUAAUUGAGUUCUUAUGUCUUCAUUUUCCUGUAGAAAUUUUGCUGAACUUAGGAGUCACAAUUCCCCUUCAUUACAUCUCAGGUUGGCUUGAGUUUUGCUUUUCUUAUUGUACACUUCCUUUUAUAUGUUUAGGUGUGUACUCACCAGUGUGUUUCCCUUCUCCUCUUUGAUUAAAUUAAAACCAAGUGUAAAUGGUUAUCCAUGUCUAUCUUUGUCUCAUUGAAACCUGCUAAGGUCAUGAAUUAUUUGGUGUUGUCCUGUCUAUUUAAACAUGUUAGAUUCUUGUUUUUUGUAUCAUGUUUGAUGGCUUAAAAAUGCUUCCGUGCCUUCUUGUCUAAAUGAAUGCAUUUGCAUUCCCAAUGACCAUAGCAAGCUGAGUAUUGGUCUAGUUUUUUCCCUGUAUCUGUUUGAAUAGUUACUGAACAAUGCAGGACUAUACAUGGAAUUGAUAAAAGAGGAGAGGUAUAUACGUGGUAUACAUCUGAUAUACAUAGCAAAUGUGUAUAUCAAGCGUAUAUCAUGUGUAUAAACAAAUUAGUUAGCCAUGGUGUACAAUGUAUAUCAGCGAGUGUAAAGGAAACAGGUUCCAUAUUUGGCUUUAAUGCUAAAACUCAAAACUUAGUAUGAAUAUGGCCCUGGUCCAUUCUAGAUAGUAUAAAGAAUAACCCAUGUCCCAUGAUUAGUAGAAAUAAAGAAACAAUAGGAGUUCGGGUAGAAUUAAUGAGAUGUAUGUAUAUAUGCAUGCUCUUUUCUAACUGGAUUCCUUUUUUUUUUUUUUUUUUUUUUUUUUUUUUUUUUUUUUUUGUGUGUGUGUGUGUCUCCUCCUCCACUGCAUGACCACUUGGGCCAAGUCAAAGCCAACCUGUUGGGCCAAGGCCCAACAGGCAAUUCUUUCGCAUUAUUAUCGAGUCCAGCGAAGAAAAAGGAAGCAAAUAUUAUAAGUACACGUGAAGGCCCUGCGAUGGGUGAAAAUGGCCAACUACGGGCUUGGUACGCCCCUAGCUUGCCCCUUUCUCUUUUAUUAUCAUUAUUUUAUCAUUUCAAUUUGUUGUAUUUGCACUUGUGACACUUGUAAAAAAUUCAUAUUAUUAUUGGAAUCUUUGGUUUGAA